UACAGAGGGUCCGAGCGUUAUUCGGAUUUACUGGGCGUAAAGCGUGCGUAGGCGGCUUUUUAAGUCGGAUGUUAAAUCCCCGAGCUUAACUUGGGAAUUGCAUUCGAUACUGGGAAGCUAGAGUAUGGGAGAGGCUGGUAGAAUUCCCGGUGUAGCGGUGAAAUGCGUAGAGAUCUGGAGGAAUACCGAUGGCGAAGGCAGCCAUCUGGCCUAAUACUGACGCUGAGGGACGAAAGCAUGGGUAGCAAACGGG
rnacentral:misc_RNA from 1 species